rnacentral:lncRNA from 1 species
UCCUAAUGUUGUUUAUUCUAUGCAUCACCUUAGAAACGACACUUCAAUAUUGAUGGUUGGUGGAAUCGACGGCGUGUUAAGAAUUGUCGACCAGCUAACUGGUGAAGUAAUUUCGAGAUGCAUAAUGGAUGAUAGUAGCACUGUGUUCAUUGGUGGUUGGUGGAAUCGACGGCGUGUUAAGAAUUGUCGACCAGCUAACUGGUGAAGUAAUUUCGAGAUGCAUAAUGGAUGAUAGUAGCACUGUGUUGCAUCGUUCAACAGAGAGAUUUGGAACUGUCCAAAUUGAGAGCAGGAAACUGAAAAGGCUCUCUGAAGAUGAUCGAAUUGAUCUUAUGCCAAGAGCUUCCCGGCCACAAAUCACAUGUUUAGCUGUUGGGAUGGAGAAAGUUGUUACUACUCAUAAUGAUAAGUAUAUCAGAGUUUGGAAAUUCAGGAAAUGAAAAGGAUUACACUACCUGAGAUUCCGGGUAUUCGUUGUAGUUCUGUAGCACUUAAUUUGUAAUAGUGUUGUUUCAAGCCACUAUAACAUUAUCAUGCUAUCACUACCUGAGAUUCCGGGUAUUCGUUGUUGUUCUGUAGCAUUUCUUUGUAAUAGUGUUGUUUCAAGCCACUAGAACAUUAUACUGCUAUUUUUGGCCUCUGACACCCUUUCUGUUCGGGCGUGCGCGAGCGCCGGCGUGCCUGUUCACAGCGUAUAAUAAUUGAGAAUCACCGCAUGUCUCGUUACAUAGACUUUUCCUUUUACCUAGAAUCGUGUAUGCGUAUUUUUAGCUGUUUGAGUUUUAAUUUCAACUAUUUGAAUAAUUUGGUAGUAAGUCAUGACAUUGAUAGUUUUGAAAUAUCACUUAAAUUAGACAACUUCCUUUAUUUAUUUAUUUUGGUUUCAAAUUGGUCUAUCUGUUCAGAUCUAUUUUUUAUUCUUCCACUAUUGAAAAACAAUGUUCACGCGAUACAGUUUACAUUUUUAAAAGAACAAUUUUUCAACCAUGUUUACUCCAC